UGAAAAUUAAAUCAAGAUAUUUAAUAGACAGUGCAAACCAUAAUUUCAUCUGAAUAUAAAUGUAUGCACAUGUUUCCAAUGAGUUAUGUACCAAUUAUCACAAACAGCAAUGAGGACCUUAGAGCUAUGUUAGAAAACUGGAUAGCUGGAGCUUAAUUCUAACAAUCUCAUCUGCUCGCAAGAGAGCACAUCCACUUCAGAUCCGUGUCACAGACUCCAAAAGACUGGGGGGCAGGAGUGACAAGGGCAGGGAGGUACACAUGGGGCCAGUACACAGGUGACAGACAGAAACACAGCUCUUGAGGAAUCAAACCAGGUAUGUUAUUACAGCUAAGAACGAGGAAAAGCCUAUCUAUGGCUUUAAAAAUGACUCUCCUGCCAGUACCGUACACGUCCUACAGAGAAAUGUGAGACAAGUCAGCUGAUUUAAAGGACACGGGCUAUAUUCUCCAGGUUGUUUCAACUGCAAAUGGCCGACCCUCUCCACAGAGGCCUCAGCAGUGGGGUUAGCGUAGUCCAGAAGCUCAGUGUUGGAUUUGCAAAUACAGUUUAUUUUACAGAAAUUCAACAUUAUAAACAGCAGGCACCUCCGGGUUUGGAUGGUAGGGCUACAGAGGGGACAUUUGGUAGAGGGACUGUUUCGGGCCCACUGAUCUCCAACAAAUUCUUGUCUAGCUCCUCUUGUUCGAGUUCCUCCAGCUCUGCCAUGAGCUCAUCCUGUCAAACUCUUCUCCAAAGCCCACAGGUUUGGAGAUAGCUGUGGAAAUCUCUUCUGCAAGUUCUUGCUGGUCAGCAAUGUCCUGCAUUAACUCAUCCACUUUAUCAAUGUCCAUGUUGUCGUGGGCAGCCUUCAUGGCCUUGGCGGCAUAGCCCAUGUUCUUGAGCACCUCCGUGUUGGUGUUGGCAUUCUCUAGGGCCUCCCGCUGGAACUCGAUGGUUGACAGGGUGCCAUCAAUCUGUGCCAGCUGCUUCUCAUACCUCUUCUUGCGCUUCAGAGCCUGCAAGGCCGCGCGCU
rnacentral:lncRNA from 1 species